AGGGCUUCGGGGGGCGGGCGAGGAAGAGUGUUGGGGCCCUGCAUGGAGGGGUGACUGGACUGGGCUGGCCGUGAGCCAGGAGUCCCUGGACCGUGCCUAACCUGUCUCUAGUGGAGGAGGAGGAGGGGGAGGGCAGCAGUUGCAGGUGUGUGUUCCCCAGGGACUGCGUCCCCUCCCUUCGCCCAAAGGCAGGCAGCUCUGAGGAAAGGCUCAGGACACAAAUAAUGGGGAAGGGGGGCUGCAGUUUGGGUCUGCAGCAGAGGGGAAUGGGGAGAGCCUAGGGCUGGGGUGACAAGACUGCGGGUUGGUGCUAUGGGGCGAUGGCAGAGCUGGGUGGGGAGUCCAGGUGGGGUGACAGGGGGCUGCAGGUCGGUGCUAUGGGGCGAUGGCAGAGCUGGGUGGGGAGCCCAGGUAAGGUGACAGGGGGCUGCAGGUCGGUGCUAUGGGGCGAUGGCAGAGCUGGGUGGGGAGCCCGGGUGGGGUGACGGGGCUGCAGGUCGGUGCUAUGGGGCGAUGGCAGAGCUGGGUGGGGAGCCCGGGUGAGGUGACAGGGGGCUGCAGGUCGGUGCUAUGGGGCGAUGGCAGAGCUGGGUGGGGAGCCCGGGUGGGGUGACGGGGCUGCAGGUCGGUGCUAUGGGGCGAUGGCAGAGCUGGGUGGGGAGCCUGGGUGAGGUGACAGGGGGCUGCAGGUCAGUGCUAUGGGGUGAUGGCAGAGCUGGG